AGCGAACGCUGGCGGCAGGCCUAAUACAUGCAAGUCGAACGCACCUUCGGGUGAGUGGCGGACGGGUGAGUAACGCGUGGGAACGUGCCCUUUGGUACGGAACAACUGAGGGAAACGGGUGGUAAUGCCGAAUGUGCCCUUCGGGGGAAAGAUUUAUCGCCAUUGGAGCGGCCCGCGUCUGAUUAGCUAGUUGGUAGUGUAACGGACUACCAAGGCGACGAUCAGUAGCUGGUCUGAGAGGAUGAUCAGCCACAUUGGGACUGAGACACGGCCCAAACUCCUACGGGAGGCAGCAGUGGGGAAUCUUGCGCAAUGGGCGAAAGCCUGACGCAGCCAUGCCGCGUGAAUGAUGAAGGUCUUAGGAUUGUAAAAUUCUUUCACCGGGGACGAUAAUGACGGUACCCGGAGAAGAAGCCCCGGCUAACUUCGUGCCAGCCGCCGCGGUAACAC
rnacentral:rRNA from 1 species